rnacentral:rRNA from 1 species
AGCGAACAUUGGCGGUAGGCUUAACACAUGCAAGUCGAGCGAUGCGUAAUAGUCGAGCGGCGAACGGGUGCGUAAUACAUGGGAAACUACCUCGAAGUGGGGGAUAACGUUCAGAAAUGGACGCUAAUACCGCAUAAUCCAAAUUGGGAAAGCGUUGCAGCGCUUUGAGAUGAGCCCAUGGCUGAUUAGCUAGUUGGUGAGGAAAUGGCUCACCAAGGCGACGAUCAGUAGCUGGUCUGAGAGGAUGACCAGCCACACCGGAACUGAGACACGGUCCAGACUCCUACGGGAGGCAGCAGUGGGGAAUCUUGCGCAAUGGGGGCAACCCUGACGCAGCCAUACCGCGUGAGUGAUGAAGGUCUUCGGAUUGUAAAGCUCUUUCCGCGGGGACGACGAUGACGGUACCCGCAAAAGAAGUCACGGCUAACUUCGUGCCAGCCGCCGCCGUAA